AGAUCAAGGUUUGGGGUGUGGUCAAGGUUUGGGGGUCAAGGGUUGGAGAUCAAGGGUUGGAGAUCAAGAGUUGGAGGUCAAGGGUUGGAGGUCAAGGGUUGGAGGUCAAGGGUUGGAGAUCAAGGGUUGGGGUGUGGUCAAGGAUGUUGGAUAUCAGAAAAGUUUGGUCAUC